CUCCUCGCCCCCCCCAUCCCUGAAGCAGCCACCGUCAUGCCCAAUCCCACCGGCAGCAGCGGAGUUCUUUAGAGGGUAAAAUGGGAAACUUCCCCUCGCCUGCUGCUACUGCCACCAUGUAGUGGUGUCGUCGUUGUUUUAAGUUUAUAGAAGAAAAAUCAAAUCACACCAUUACCGAGAUCGCCGCCAUUACCCCUCUCUGGGGAGCAAUUGGGGCCAAAGCUCCCUUCGUUGCUUCGCACGCCGGGGCCGUAGCUCCCUUGGCCAAAGCCUGCCCACUCCGCGGUUCAAGGGCUGGGGCAUCCGACAAAGGACCCUCUGAGAGGGAGCCUUUCAGCAUGUCUCCCGUAUGCGAGAGUUCCAUCACUCCUUAAAGACCCUCCGUCCGUCACGUGAAGAAGGAAAGGAGCGGUGAGAGAGAUAGGGGCCGGAGGGAAGUCAAGGACAAAAAGAACGAUAGGAGACCAACGAAAGACAUAAUUCUGACAUUGUGGACAGAGACACCCUCAACUCUUCUUCUCCUGCCAGGGAUAUUGGAUGUUUAACAUACUUCAGAUUUUCUGAAUAGAAGUUUGUUCCUCUGCAGUAUUCCUGCCUCCUCCUACAAAACAGACUGGAAUACCAAACCUGGCUUCAUUUUCUUAAUUAAAGUAAUUAAUUAAAGCCUCUACUGUACUGAAGAAUCAAGGACAUACAUUCACAGGAAAGCAGAUUUUGUUUAAACCAGACCAUUGAACAACAGCUGGCCUUUAUCUGCUUGUUCCACCAUAAUCUCCGACAGGAUAAAGCAAACAAGCAGCAGACACGUUUUUAUCCUGCUGAAUGGAUUAAGCCAGA